GAUCAUGGCUCAGGAUGAACGCUGGCGGCGUGCUUAACACAUGCAAGUCGAACGAAGCAAUCUAACGGAAGUUUUCGGAUGGAAGCUAGAUUGACUGAGUGGCGGACGGGUGAGUAACGCGUGGGUAACCUGCCUCACACUGGGGGACAACAGUUAGAAAUGACUGCUAAUACCGCAUAAGCGCACGGGACCGCAUGGUCCAGUGUGAAAAACUCCGGUGGUGUGAGAUGGACCCGCGUUUG
rnacentral:rRNA from 1 species